GGAGUCCUAAGGAAAGCUGCUAACUAUCCUAUAGCAAUAAUUUGUUAGACCCCCCC
rnacentral:tRNA from 1 species